GGUUUUAUUAUAUAUUUUAUAAUUCUUUCUAUAAAUUUUAAUUUUAAAAAUUUUUGGAUACUGAAUACUUUUAUACAUAUUUUUAUAUAUCAAUCUUCGAUUAUGUAUGUUUUAGAAAAGUAUAUCACUAGUAUUUGAUGUGCUCUUCCAAUUAUUUCAUAGAUAUUAAUAAUUUUAUUUGCAAUUAUAGCUUUAAAUGGUAAAAAUUGAAUGGACUAUAAAUAAAAUCAUUAUGGCGGUUGAAAUAAUCCCUAAACAUUUCAAUUUUGCAUACAUAUUUUUGUAUAAUUUUUAAUCCUAAAUAAUAUUAAAAUUAUUUAUUAUAUUCUACUUGUCAAAUGCUCUUGGAAGUUGUAAAAAUGUCUUACAAAUUUUUGAAGAAUUGUUUUAAUCAUUAAUAUAAUUAAAUAUACAUAAAUAGAAUAAUUAUAUGUAUAUUAUUUAUCGCUUAUACAAGUUUUAAAACUUUUUUUAUUUUGUUGAAAUUACAUAAACUAUAUUAUAUUAACUAUAAAAAAUAAAAUAUAAAAUGCAGAAGAUAAAAAAAGCAAAAGUGGUACGUAAUAAUAAAGUUUUUUAAUAUAAGUUUAAAAUUAUUGAUGAAAAAAAAAUAUAUUAUUUAUAGAAUCAAGCUAUUGAAAUACUUUGGUUAAAUAAAAAAGAUGGAUUGAAAAAAAAGAUAAAAAUGGAAAAGAUAAAAAAAUUACAAAAUAUUGAUACUCAGUGUAAAAUCAUACAUUAUUAUAAAAAGAGUGAAAGGCAAUAUCCAAUAAGUUUUUCAAGACACAGAAUUCUCUCUGAAAUAAAAUCAUAUAUAAAUAAAAAAGAUUGGAAUAAAGCUAAAAAUUUAUUUUUAU